GUUUGUUCCAGUCUUUAACUUUUUGCAUUAGACACUUUCCUCAAAUGCCUGGUGAUCCUUGGUUCUGAGUUUCUAUUUAGGAAUAAGGAACACAGAAUCCGACUGGAACCAAGGAACUUGGACUUGUGAGCUGCCAUGCAAGAGAAUCUAACAAGUGGAACUGCAGCCCUGGAGACAGGCACAUGAUCACAGAGCAAGGUGCUCGAAGAACCCACUAUUGCAUUCAGCAUGUGAAGGCAAUAAGACACCCCAAGUGACAACCACUUCACCAAGUCCAGUCAAACCCCAAAUGAUGAGUUGUCAUAAUAAUACUAAAUGAUGGCCAUUGAUUUAUGCCACUAAGUUAUUAAGUUAUGUGACAAUAGUUGGAAGAAAUUGGGCCUAGAAUGAGCAAAGGUCUCAGCUAGUAUUAGAUCUUGUGACUUGUAAAUUUCAGUUCAUCAUUCAAAAACAACCUUCUGAUCUCUAUUUCCUCAAAGUCUACUAGAAAAUACCCCUGUUAUAUUCUCUCUAGACAUUUUUAAAAGUUCAUCUUUCUCUGUGGUUCACAAUGGUCAUAAAAUUACAGCUGGUGUCAGUGAGGUGUAGGAACCAGCUUUGAGGCACAGAAAUCACUUGUUUGCUAAGUAUUAAGGUAACACAUAAACUGCCUACAACAAACAGUGUAGUCAUUACCUGGAUUAAUAACACUCUUCUUCUCUUAGCAUCUCAUUAGUUCACUCACUGAUCUAAAUUCAUUCCUGUGCAUUCAAAAGAAUGUUUUAAAUUAAGGGAAAUGAAAAUGAGAUGAAAUUUCCAGAGAAGGCUUCUUAGAAGACAAAACAGUCCUUUGAAAAGAGAUGCCCACAAAUAUUAAGGCUUGGAUUUUAGAAGCAGAUAAUUCAGUAUUAAAUGAUGUGCAAGGUAAUUGCUUAAAGUGCAUUUGUUUAGAUGGUGGCACAACUAUUACUCAGCUGAUACACUGUGAAGA
rnacentral:lncRNA from 1 species